GAUGAACGCUGGCGGCGUGCUUAACACAUGCAAGUCGAACGGAAAGGCGCUGCUUGCUGGUUACUCGAGCGGCGGACGGGUGAGUAAUACGUAGGAGUUCUGCUCUUUGCGUUGGGUUACGCCUGGGAAACGGGGCCUAUUACCCAAUAUUACAGUUGUUGAGAUGCGAGGGUGGUAAGCCUUUGCGGUAUGGGAUGAGCCUGGGGCCUAUCAGCUUGUUGGUGGGGUAAUGGCCUACCAAGGCGACGACGGGUAGCCGGCCUGAGAGGGUGUACGGCCAGAUUGGGACUGAGAGAGGGCCCAGACUCCUAAGGGAGGCAGCAGUGGGGAAUAUUGCACACUGCGCGCAAGCCUGAGGCAGCAAGGCCGCGUGAGGGAUGACGGCCUUAGGGUGGUAGAAUCCGUUGGCAGCCGACGAAGCCUUUUGGUGACGGUAGGUUGAGAAGAAGCACCGGCUAACUACGUG
rnacentral:rRNA from 1 species